GAUGAACGCUGGCGGCGUGCUUAACACAUGCAAGUCGAACGAUAAGUGAAGACGGAAACCUUCGGGCGGAAGGCUUUAUUUCGAGUGGCGGACGGGUGAGUAACGCGUGGGUAACCUGCCUCAUACAGGGGGAUAACAGUUUGAAACGACUUUUAAUACCUCAUAAGACCACAUCACCGCAUGGUGUGGGGGUACAAACUCCGGUGGUAUGAGAUGGACCCGCGUUCGAUUAGCCAGUUGGCGGGGUAACGGCCCACCAAAGCGACGAUCGAUAGCCGAUCUGAGAGGAUGACCGGACACAUUAGGACUGAGACACGGACCAAACUCCUACGGGAGGCAGCAGUGGGGAAUAUUGAACAAUGGGGGAAAGCCUGAUGCAGCGAGGCCGCGUGAGUGAAGAAGUAGUUCGGUAUGUAAAGCUCUAUCAGAAGGGAAGAAAAUGACGGUACCUGAGUAAGAAGCCACGGCUAACUACGUG
rnacentral:rRNA from 1 species